CGACACUCGACACUCACAUGAUGUGAGUCACAUCAAAGACAGAGUUAACUGCAUAGACAUCAUUAACCUACCAAGAAUGCAUAUCAGAUGUGUACGGUCUGCAGGACACAGGAUACGGGCCGCUUGCUCUCACUGGGGUCCGUGUGUCAGCUGAGAGCAGAGGGACGGUGCCCAAUAAAUCAAAAUACAUUUAACAUGCAGGAGGCAGCUGUUACCUGUCCAUCAGCUGCAUUAGCAUACCAGUUUGCAGCAUAAAGCCAAUAUGAAAGGAAACUUAAAAUGGCAUCCAAACAAAAUAAGACUUUGAACAAUUGUAAGGCAAAACUAUAAAUCCAGAUGGCAUGCUGGAUCAACCCGAGCCGAUGAAAAAUAACAGUGGAGGGCCGAAAAGGCUGGGAAAAAAAUAAAUGUAUGAAGGUGGUGAUAGAAUAAGAAUUUCACACCUACAGUACCUACCACACAUGGCUUUCACACAUCAGAUAGGGCUUGGAGAGAAAGCCCAGAUGAACACAAAUCUAGAUGUACCAUUUUAGUAUACGUGACAUUAGCUAAUGUUAUUGUCUUAUGCUUUUCACUGUAAUAUCUGUAUCUUCCGGUUUCAUAUUAAACCCUGAACAAUGCAUCCAAACAAAGAA